rnacentral:rRNA from 1 species
CCUACGGGAGGCAGCAGUGAGGAAUAUUGGUCAAUGGACGAGAGUCUGAACCAGCCAAGUAGCGUGAAGGAUGACUGCCCUGUGGGUUGUAAACUUCUUUUAUAUGGGAAUAAAACGUUCCACGUGUGGGAUUUUGUAUGUACCAUAUGAAUAAGGAUCGGCUAACUCCGUGCCAGCAGCCGCGGUAAUACGGAGGAUCCGAGCGUUAUCCGGAUUUAUUGGGUUUAAAGGGAGCGUAGGUGGAUUGUUAAGUCAGUUGUGAAAGUUUGCGGCUCAACCGUAAAAUUGCAGUUGAAACUGGCAGUCUUGAGUACAGUAGAGGUGUGCGGAAUGCGUGGUGUAGCGGUGAAAUGCUUAGAUAUCACGAAGAACUCCGAUUGCGAAGGCAGUUCACUGGACUGCAACUGACACUGAGGCUCGAAAGUGUGGGUAUCAAACAGGAUUAGAUACCCCUGUAGUC